rnacentral:ncRNA from 1 species
AGCUAGCAUGGCGGGUGUUCAAGCUAGUCGGCACUUUCUCUCAUCCAACUCUCACUGCCAUGAGCGGUAAGAUGAAAGGUGUGUCGGCUGCUUGUUCUGAGAUCAUACCGUUUAAACUUGAUCUGGAUAAUUCCAGCGAAAGGACAGAGCUGCUUCUUGAUG